GAUCAUGAAUUCAUGAUUUCGAGAUCAUGAUUUCAUGAUUUUGAGAUCAUGAAUUCAUGAUUUGAGAUCAUGAUUUCAUGAUUUUGAGAUCAUGAAUUCAUGAUUCGAGAUCAUGAUUUCAUGAUU